rnacentral:rRNA from 1 species
AGAAAAUAGAUACCCUGGUAGUCCACGCCGUAAACGAUGGAUACUAGCUGUUCGGAGCAAUCUGAGUGGCUAAAGCGAAAAAAGUGAUAAGUAUCCCACCUGGGGAGUACGCACGCAAGUGUGAAACUCAAAGGAAUUGACGGGGCCCGCACAAGCGGUGGAGCAUGUGGUUUAAUUCGAUGAUACGCGAGGAACCUUACCAGGGCUUAAAUGUAGAUUGACAGGACUGGAAACAGUUUUUCUUCGGACAAUUUACAAGGUGCUGCAUGGUUGUCGUCAGCUCGUGCCGUGAGGUGUCAGGUUAAGUCCUAUAACGAGCGCAACCCCUGUCGUUAGUUGCCAGCGAGUCAUGUCGGGAACUCUAACGAGACUGCCAGUGUAAACUGUGAGGAAGGUGGGGAUGACGUCAAAUCAUCACGGCCCUUACGUCCUGGGCCACACACGUGCUACAAUGGUAGGUACAGAGAGCAGCCACUGCGCGAGCAGGAGCGAAUCUACAAAACCUAUCUCAGUUCGGAUCGGAGU